rnacentral:tRNA from 1 species
GGAGGUGUGGCCGAGUGGCUUAAGGCGGCAGUCUUGAAAACUGCUGGCGGCGCGAGUCGUCCGUGGGUUCAAAUCCCACCACCUCCG